UCGCUGAGCAACUAGGGCAGAUCCAGCCCC
rnacentral:sRNA from 1 species